rnacentral:rRNA from 1 species
GAUGAACGCUGGCGGCGUGCUUAACACAUGCAAGUCGAACGGUGAAGCAGAGCUUGCUCUGUGGAUCAGUGGCGAACGGGUGAGUAACACGUGAGCAACCUGCCCCUGACUCUGGGAUAAGCGCUGGAAACGGCGUCUAAUACUGGAUAUGAGCUGCGACCGCAUGGUCAGCAGUUGGAAAGAUUUUUCGGUCUGGGAUGGGCUCACGGCCUAUCAGCUUGUUGGUGAGGUAAUGGCUCACCAAGGUGUCGACGGGUAGCCGGCCUGAGAGGGUGACCGGCCACACUGGGACUGAGACACGGCCCAGACUCCUACGGGAGGCAGCAGUGGGGAAUAUUGCACAAUGGGCGAAAGCCUGAUGCAGCAACGCCGCGUGAGGGAUGACGGCCUUCGGGUUGUAAACCUCUUUUAGCAGGGAAGAAGCGAAAGUGACGGUACCUGCAGAAAAAGCGCCGGCUAACUACGUG